rnacentral:rRNA from 1 species
UGGGGAAUAUUGCACAAUGGGCGAAAGCCUGAUGCAGCAACGCCGCGUGAGGGACGACGGCCUUCGGGUUGUAAACCUCUUUUAGCAAGGAAGAAGCGAAAGUGACGGUACUUGCAGAAAAAGCGCCGGCUAACUACGUGCCAGCAGCCGCGGUAAUACGUAGGGCGCAAGCGUUAUCCGGAAUUAUUGGGCGUAAAGAGCUCGUAGGCGGUUUGUCGCGUCUGCUGUGAAAACCCGAGGCUCAACCUCGGGCCUGCAGUGGGUACGGGCAGACUAGAGUGCGGUAGGGGAGAUUGGAACUCCUGGUGUAGCGGUGGAAUGCGCAGAUAUCAGGAAGAACACCGAUGGCGAAGGCAGAUCUCUGGGCCGUAACUGACGCUGAGGAGCGAAAGGGUGGGGAGCAAAACA